rnacentral:rRNA from 1 species
GACGAACGCUGGCGGCGUGCUUAACACAUGCAAGUCGAACGGAAAGGCCCUGCUUGCAGGGUCCUCGAGUGGCGAACGGGUGAGUAACACGUGGGUGAUCUGCCCUGCACUUCGGGAUAAGCCUGGGAAACUGGGUCUAAUACCGGAUAGGAGCCAUUUUUAGUGUGAUGGUUGGAAAGUUUUUUCGGUGUAGGAUGAGCUCGCGGCCUAUCAGCUUGUUGGUGGGGUAAUGGCCUACCAAGGCGGUGACGGGUAGCCGGCCUGAGAGGGUGGACGGCCACAUUGGGACUGAGAUACGGCCCAGACUCCUACGGGAGGCAGCAGUGGGGAAUAUUGCACAAUGGGCGCAAGCCUGAUGCAGCGACGCCGCGUGGGGGAUGACGGCCUUCGGGUUGUAAACUCCUUUCGCUAGGGACGAAGCUUUUUGUGACGGUACCUAGAUAAGAAGCACCGGCUAACUACGUG